UCUGCAUUCAUAGACCUUCCUAUUCAGUGAUCAGCCUGAGCCCUUACCAUAGAACACUUACCAUAGAUAUGGGAUUGAGCUGGGUUUUUCUUGUUGCUCUUUUGAAAGGCAUUCAAUGUGAGGUGCAGCUCGUGGAGACAGGAGGAGGCUUGGUGCGGCCUGGGAGUUCUCUAAAACUCUCCUGUGCAACCUCUGGAUUUACAUUCAGUAACACCUGGAUGAACUGGGUUCGCCAGGCUCCAGGGAAGGGGCUCGAGUGGGUUGCUCUAAUUAAAGAUAAAUAUAGUAAUUAUGAAGCAAACUAUGCAGAGUCUGUAAAAGGCAGAUUCACCAUCUCAAGAGACGAUUCGAAAAGCAGAGUCUACUUACAGAUGAACACCUUAAGGGAUCAGGACACUGCCACUUAUUACUGUACAAGGCACACUGAGAGGCCAUUAGUGUGA